CCAGACAGACAGACCAGACCAGACCAGACCAGACCAGACCAGACCAGACCAGACCAGACAAGACAGAACGAACCAGACAGGCCAGACUAGACUUCAGACCAGACCAGACAAUCGAACCAGACAGACAGACCAGACAGACAGACCAGACAGACAGACCAGACAGACAGACCAGACAGAUCGAACCAGACAUAGACCAGACAGACGGACAAGACUAGACUUCAGACCAGACCAGAUCAAAUCCCAAUGGAAAUAAGUCACUUUGACUUUCCUAGGUUAUCCUUGUUGCACUUAAUCAGUAACCACCAAAAACCAUGGAGUAUAGCAAAAUGUUUGGAUGAAUGAGCAGAAGUUUCCUCACUCGCCCAGAGACAGCCACACUGACUCAGGAACGCGUGAGCGGCUGGUGGUGGACGCUUCCAAUAUGACUGAUAAGCAGAAUAACGGCCGAUAACUGAAAGCCAAAACAACGGCCGAUAACUGAGUUGGCCAAUAAGCAGAACGGCUGAUAACUGAGGGUCCACUGUAUUUUAUAAGCAUGUCCCAGAAUAUGUCUGGUGGUGAUGUUCUCCAAGAGGUGCGGGUGACCCUGGACAAACUGGGUUACCGUGAGCCUCUCCCUCCUGAUGCCCUGCCUCUUGUCCAGCAUCUCCUGGAUGAUCUCAUUUCGUGCACUAAAGACCUCAAGCACACUAAGGAAACACUGGCUUAUACACAGAAGGUAAGUUUUGUAGAACAUUUUCAAAAUUUUCAAGAUGAGAUUACUCCUUAGAUGUGCCUUAACUUUCAUUACUAUAAAAUUAUGCUCCUCCUUUUACUGUCUCAAGUAAAAAUCUAAAAAUGAAAUAGUACUGCCUUCAUGCAGAUGUAUUAAAUAUCACUGACAGAUUAUGCAAAAGCUUAGAUUUAAAUUUUAUAAUAUCUUUGUUAAAGUUUACUAUGAUGAAUGAACAA